GGAGGGAACAAGAAAUAGUCUGCAAAUGGCAGCCGGUCUGCAGCUAAAUCUUCCUGUUGGCUUUAGAAGAAUAUUCCAAGGAAGAAGAAAAAUUUCACCUAGGUUUCUUCAUACUUUAACAGACUUACUGUGUUGAGAAGUAAUAUAUAAGAAACGUAAGGUGUUGCGGUGAGGAAGCUGUGAAACUAAAGAUGUUUGAGAGAGAGACAGUGGAAGAGAAAAAUCAUAUCCCUACAUCUGUUAAAUUAUUUCUAUGUCACUAGCUCUGAGCGCUACACACUGGUCAUAUAUCUAUCAGAAAAACAGGGAGCUCUAAACAAAAUUUAUCCUCAGGCACACUGCAUAAUAAAAAUGAGGU
rnacentral:lncRNA from 1 species